GGCUCUGUAGCUUAGGGGUUAGAGCACUGGUCUUGUAAACCAGGGGUCGUGAGUUUGAAUCUUGCCAGGGCUU